rnacentral:rRNA from 1 species
CCCGCUGAACUUAAGCAUAUCAAUAAGGCGAGGAACAGAAACCAACUGGGAUUCCCUCAGUAGUGGCGAAUGAAGCGGGAAAAGCUCAAGUUUGAAAUCUGGCGGGCGACCUCCAGAGUUGUAAGCUGAUGAGGCGUCGACCGACGUGGCCCGGGCUCAAUUUCCUUGGAACAGGAGGUCAUGGAGGGUGAGAACCCCGUCUGUGGUCCGAGUGCCGUCGUCUCUGUGUCGUGCCCUCUAAGAGUCGGGUUGUUUGGGAAUGCAGCUCAAAAUGGGUGGUAAAUUUCAUCUAAAGCUAAAUAUUGGCGAGAGACCGAUAGCAAACAAGUAGAGUGAUCGAAAGAUGAAAAGUACUUUGAAAAGAGAGUGAAACAGUACGUGAAAUUGUUGAAAGGGAAGCGUUUGGCAUCAGCCCAUGGCGUCCGACGAUCACCCGGGCUUCUGUCCGGUGCACUUGUCGGGCGUCGGGCCAGCGUCGGCUCUGCCCAUCGGAGAAAGGUCUCGGGGAUGUGGCUCCCUUCGGGGAGCGUUAUAACCCUUGGCGUAAUGCGAUGUGAUGGGGCCGAGGUCCGCGGUUCAUACCUAGGACGCUGGCGUAAUGGUUCCAAGCGACCCGUCUUGAAACACGG